UGACUGGGGCUGAAGUGUUUAAAGGUCUUCCCAGUGAAUAAGUUUCACCUGUAACCCUACCUGUUGUUGCAGUAGGCUGAAAAAUGUUUGCAGAUGUGAUCACUGGACCAUUGAAUUAAUACUGCUCCAGGCCAACUUGCAGCUGCUGGAGGCUACUGGACCAGAUAUUCUGCAAACCACUUCAAAUGCCUCAGGGCUCAGACCUGAUCAUCCCUUUUCUAAAGGGAACUUAAUUUCCUUUGUUAACUGAAAAUCAUGUUUCUGGAGAACCAACUGCUCCGUUCAGAUUAAGAGAUGAAAGGGGUGCAGGUGCACAUCACAAUUCUGCAGGACUGCUCUGGUGCUGGCGCUGCUUCUGUUUUAGGGCACCCUACUUCUUCAGCAAGGUACACCUAGCUGCUGCUUACAUUCUCAAGAAGCAGCGGUCCACCUACAGCUGAUCUACAGCCACAUGAGAAUGAUAAAAAACCUGAAGGUCUUUGACCCUCGUGACACAUAUCCUUGGGGGAGAGGCAGAGGAAGACCAGGCAGUGCCAGAUAGUGGGAUGCAGAAGACAGGCUGGGCAGGUUGCUUCAUUAAAGGAAAUAUAUACAAAAACAUUGCAACAAACACCCAUCAUGGCAGGCCUGAGAGAGCAACAGGACAUCUGUGUUCUGAGAGAGGUCACACAGGAGGACCUUCCAUGCAUCAAACAGAUCCUGAAACAGCUCCGCUUAGGACUGACCUGGGCUCACAUACCUGUACAGUGGGGAAACAGUGCCAGACUUCAGCAUCAAAUACUAUCAUCCUCAGCUAUGAGUUUGAUUUUCCUAAGAGGGUAAAGUGUCUUGCAGGUUUUAUGAUUUCUUAGGAUUACAGAUGAAGAGGGAUUAAUGGAUUAGUCUGUUACCUCAGAGUUAUUCCACACAAGGUAUGAAUAAGUAAUGCACAGUCAUGAAUCCAGCUAUUACUUAUGUAAAUGUCAGGAUUUUAUGCAUAGCGUGAGCAAUUUAGGGAGUUCUAGCACAAAUUUUCUGGUCCUAUACUAUUUAGUUUGUUUCUCCUCACAUUGGUGACUAAUACCACAUAAUUUGGCAGUUUCAAGCUUUAACAUACAAGGACGUUAGACUUCUCACACACCUCCAAGUGUUAAAUAAAAAGCAGUUGUGUUAUGGAGAGAGGGUAACUGAAUCCUGGAGGCACAUACAACAUGCUCCUAAAUGCUUAAUGAGAUAGUGUUUCUUUCUUGCUUGCUUUCUUAUUAACAUAGGGCUUUGUCUAAUUAAUCCAUGCAUUACAUUUAUUUAAUAUUCAUCUCAUCUAUAAAUAAUCUUGACUUGAGAAGGUUUUUCAGUAAUAACAGUAAUACCUGAGCUGUGUGUGGAUAUUUUGGUCAGAGCCUAAAAGUUGAGAAUUGUCAGAGCCAACUCUAAUGUUAUAUCUGAGACAGACAUUUAAACUUAGAGAUCACUUCCCAGAACUGACUCACUUCUGUGGGACUGACGGUUAAAGAAAGCUACAUACUUUUGGGAAGGAAAAUAAUUAUGUUUUCCAGGGUCUCUCAGACAUGCUCGAUAAAAUUGGAUCGGGCACAGUUGUGAUCCAAUUUGUUGACCAAAAUAUGCAUUUUAUUUUGCAAAACAAAUUCAGACUGAAUGCUGCAAUGUUGCUCUGGACUUUGGUAUAGGAGUCUGGAGUGACCUCAGUUAAGGCAUCAGGGAAAUGCUCAGAAUGUAAGGACUCAUCAGCAGCACUUGCUGUAAAUAUGUGGGUAACAGUUUCAUUAAUUAAACAUAAUCUGGCAAAGAAAUUUCUCAGCUUUUUGCAGUCUCUGCAAAUUUUAAAAAGUCCUCUGUCUCCCAAGCAGAAUGGUUGGCCUGGACUGUGGCCGGAGGUGCCAAACAUACAUCCUAUGCUGUUUAUGCACCAUGGGCAUUAGUUACUUUCAGGGACCAUUUGGUUGCACUGAGAGAACAUGUGUGAGACUAAUCUUAUGGUGUUUGGGAUGUUCAGCUCAGUGUCUUGCCACCUCGUGCUUUUACCCAUGGAAAUAACCUUUAUCUGAAUAAUCUCAAGCCAAGGUGGGGAGCACAAGGUCCUCAGAGGCAGAGCCAUCACUUUUUCAAUUUCUUUCUUGUUAUUAUUUCACAGUGUUCUAUUUUUGGCUUUUGCUUACCUCAUGCCUGAAGGCAUAACUGAGAUUUUCCUGGGAAGGAUCAUAGCAAGCUCUGAACAUGCGGUUGGUUUGUAUUUUAGCUAAAGAACAAUUACUGCCAGAGGGCUGCUAAUUCCGGUGGCCUGUCAUGGAGAAUUGAAGCAAUAACAAAAAAAAAAAAAAGGUGAGGAUGUGCACUGGUAGGUCCUGGAGCUGUGUCAUGCCGGACAGAUAUCUUCAAGCUUCAGAUCAAUCACAGGAUACAGCCCUCAGUCUUCUACUUCUUACUGUGUAGAAGCCAGCAAUAAAUUAUUGUUCUUUGUUUCUUGAAAUGAUACUUAUAUUGCCCAGCUGUGUGAAGACAGAGCACUGCUUUACCAGCAGCUUCAUGGGAAACACCAGUUAUUAAUGCCCCAGCCUAGGGCAAAACACAAGCCUGUGUCUGACCACUCACAGCUGUCGUCACCAACUCCAUGUCUCAGGUUAAGCCUGUGCUUGAAAUUGUCCUGAAUCCACAAGAGAACAUGCCUCUAAGUGCUCUCCAAACACAGCAUGUAGGUUUUUGGUAGCGGUGGUGCUGGACAACCACUUUGAUUUCUACCUGAGACAGAAACCCCUACCCAUCUCCCACACUUUUUCUGCACAAAGGUUUUUCCAUUUUCUUUCAGAAGCAUUAAUGAAGUCCAAAAGUGAAUAUUGUCAUGAAGUUUUCAAGGACAAGAAAACAGAGGAAUUAUUAAAAUAACAGAAAUUUCUUGCCUGUCUCCUAAAGCAUGAAACUAAGGUCAACAUACACAUGCAAGAUUUAAGUGGAGAAUGAUUUCAUCAUAAAGGCUUUCUAUAAGGAAAAUUCUUGUUUAGAGAACAUAUGUGAAAAACUGGGAAGAAAGCAAUUUUAUUCCAUGAAUUCUGGAAUAAGAGGUUUCUUGGG